rnacentral:tRNA from 1 species
GGGGCGGUGUUCGAGUGGUUAAAGAAGUUGGUCUGUAAAACCAAUGCCUACGGCUACCAAGGUUCAAAUCCUUGCCGCCCCACCA